rnacentral:rRNA from 1 species
GACGUAGGGCGCGAGCGUUGUCCGGAUUUAUUGGGCGUAAAGAGCUCGUAGGCGGCUUGUCGCGUCGUCCGUGAAAACCUGUGGCUCAACUGCAGGCUUGCGGUCGAUACGGGCAGGCUGGAGUUCGGUAGGGGAGACUGGAAUUCUUGGUGUAGCGGUGAAAUGCGCAGAUAUCAGGAGGAACACCGGUGGCGAAGGCGGGUCUCUGGGCCGAUACUGACGCUGAGGAGCGAAAGCGUGGGGAGCGAACAGG